GAGAACCUUCUCAUUGCCAGAAAACUAUAAGGUGUGUUUUACACAGAACUGUUGCUAUAUUUUGCACUCUGCCUAUAUUUACAUAUGUUUCUGUCAUCUGCUCCACUUCAAGCUAAAACAAAAAAGAUCGUUUGGAAGUUUUGGCAUGUUCACUGCAAGGAUAAAGAUGAAUUCUAUGGGGUAUUGGUUAGUCACUCUUCUACAUAUGCGUUAGGACAAACAUCAGUCGCAGUUGAGAGUAAACUUUUCUUACUAGGCUAAUCAGACUUAGUAUACUCGAGCAACAUGUGCGGGGACCUGUAUAUCUUUACUAAUGUCCAGUAUAGGAUUUCCU
rnacentral:misc_RNA from 1 species